UACGUAGGGCGCAAGCGUUGUCCGGAAUUAUUGGGCGUAAAGAGCUCGUAGGCGGCUUGUCACGUCGAUUGUGAAAGCCCGAGGCUUAACCUCGGGUCUGCAGUCGAUACGGGCUAGCUAGAGUGUGGUAGGGGAGAUCGGAAUUCCUGGUGCAGCGGUGAAAUGCGCAGAUAUCAGGAGGAACACCGGUGGCGAAGGCGGAUCUCUGGGCCAUUACUGACGCUGAGGAGUGAAAGCGUGGGGAGCGAACAGG
rnacentral:rRNA from 1 species